UACGGAGGGGACUAGCGUUGUUCGGAAUUACUGGGCGUAAAGCGCACGUAGGCGGAUUUGUAAGUCAGGGGUGAAAUCCCGGGGCUCAACCUCGGAACUGCCUUUGAUACUGCAAAUCUCGAGUCCGGAAGAGGUGAGUGGAAUCCUAGUUGUAGAGGUGAAAUUCGUAGAUAUUAGGAAGAACACCAGUGGCGAAGGCGGCUCACUGGUCCGGUACUGACGCUGAGGUGCGAAAGCGUGGGGAG
rnacentral:rRNA from 1 species